rnacentral:lncRNA from 1 species
UUUUUUUUUUUUUUCCCAUCUUUUGUCUUAUUAAGGCCACACCUGAGGCAUACGGAGGUUCCCAGGCUAAGGGUCAAAUCAGUUGGAGCUGUAGCUGCCAGCCGACACCACAGUCACAGCCACACAGGAUCCAAGCUGCGUCUGCAACCUACACCACAGCUCACGGCAACGCCAGAUCCUUAACCUGCUGAGCAAGGCCAGGGAUGGAACCCACGUCCUCAUUGAUGAUACUAGUCGGGUUUGUUAACCACUGAGCCACGACAGGAACUCCCUUGGUUGAUUUUCUAUGCAUAUCCAAGUGGAAGAAGAUAGAAAAGGACAGGUUACCAUAAACUUCAAUAUUGACAAAAGGAAAAUAUGCAUAGACCACAAAGGAACAGAAUGAGAACAUGCAAGGAUAUGAUUUCCUAAGGUCCACCGAAAUAAGGUGAAGUCUGUCUUCCCUGCAGAGAAAAGAAGAGGGAAUGGUAGGAAGAAAGGUAACGAUGUGGAACAUUAUCCAAAAAUUCCAAGCUGCAACAACUCUGUCACUGAAUGCUGCCCCUCAGUGACAUACUGACUCUGAAGUAAAACUGCAGAGCCCCCAGGAGAGGGAAGGCAGGGUGUGCUGAGGGAGAAGACAAAAAGCCAUUGUAGCCGAGACACUUACACUUAACCCUUUUACAGCCUAGGGAAUACAUCCUAAUUGUUCUCCCAACUUUUGUCUGAGAGUUAAUGACAAAAUAAUAAUAGUAAAUUACUGAGAAGCACCCCCAGAGGCAACAGAAGCUAUGCUGAGCCACAUUAAAAUGCAGCAUGGAGUUAUGCAAAGUAUCGCAUUAAAAUUUAAGACCCUUCAAAAAAUUCAAUCUUGUUUAAUUUCAUUGCUUUGAAAUUAAAUAAAUGAUUUUUAUAAUGGAAAAAAAUAAAAAUCAUUUAUUUAAUUUCAAAGCAGUAUUUCAAACCAAAAGGCCCUGUGGGAAUCGAGAGAGAAAAGGGAGGUAACAACAGUCCAUCUCUACUAAGGACAGAACUGAGGCAGGAGGGGAGGGGGAUCUGCCAGACAUUUUUAACGACAACGUCAUUUGUGAUAUAUUGUGAAGGUCUGUCCUUCUGUCACAGUGCAAGACAAAGGGACCAUUUUACUUCUUGUUUCCUACUUUACUAUUAUUGAUUAAGGUGAAAAGCUACGUCUCUGGCUCUGACCUCCCUUAAGCCCUGGACCCAUAAUAUGGAACUGCUUCCUCGUGUUCCCUUCCCUUGAAUCACAUUCCAUAAGCAACAACAAUUCAAUGUGACCAAAACUGAAUUUAUCAUUUUUUUUUUUCCAAAAUCUGCUCUUCUUCCUUAAUCUCCCAUUCCAAAGCACCCAAGACAAGAAUCUGAUUCCCCCGGAUGCUUCUCCACCCUUUAAGAUGAAAGAAUCAAAGCUUUCACCUCGUCAGCUACUCUUGGUUGGUGUACUCUUCAUCCCUUCUGCCACAGGCUUUCAGUUCAGACCCUCCCAUCUGGCCUCAGAACCCCUGCGCUAUCCUCUUAGCAAAUGUCCCCGGUUCUCCUCAUCUUGUCUCCCACCAACAGAAUCUGCGCCAGAGCACCGAACAGAGGGAUGCUUCCAAGAUGCAAAUCUGAUCAGGCUGCACCCCAGAGCCCUGGGAUGACUAGAUCCCGUUCUCUAAAAAAUACAAACCAAGUUUCUGAGCAUGACAGAAAGGCCUUCGUGGGCCGGCCAUCAACUUCCCCUUCCAGCACUCCGUGUCACACAUCGACACAAUGAGGUAGCUCACCGCAGCACUCCACAUGCUACUUUACAUGCUUUUCUUUGCCAUGUAGUUCCCUCUGCCUGGAACGUCCUUCUCGUCAACAAGCCACAGUUCAAAAACCCAUUCCUUCAGGAACCCUCCCCGGACUUUUUGCCACCCCUUCUGCUCCACUGGCUUCAGGAGGGGGGGGUCCUCCCUCUGUCUUUGCACAGUACACAGGCCUCCUCAGCAGCUACCUAUCACACCCUCUCACAUGUCUGCUUUAUUCUAUUACCCGUGGGGCUGCUGACAGCUCUAGGAAGCUGCCUUCUCCUUCACUCAGUGCCUGCUGCCCAAGAAAUGGUCUCGAAACUUUUUUCAUUAUGUGCAAUUUCUACUAGAUGCUAUUUGUAACAUUUUCUCCUAGAUUUUUUUUUCUUUUCUUUUUUUUUUUUUCCCACUGUACAGCAAGGGGGUUAGGUUAUCCUUACAUGUAUACAUUACAAUUACAGUUUUUCCCCCACCAUUUCUUCUGUUGCAACAUGAGUAUCUAGACAUAGUUCUCAAUGCUAUUCAGCGGGAUCUCCUUGUAAAUCUAUUCUAGGUUGUGUCUGAUAAGCCCAAGCUCCCGAUCCCUCCCAGUCCCUCCCCCUCCCAUCAGGCAGCCACAAGUCUCUUCUCCAAGUCCAUGAUUUUCUUUUCUGAGGAGAUGUUCAUUUGUGCUGGAUAUUAGAUUCCAGUUAUAAGUGAUAUCAUAUGGUAUUUGUCUUUGUCUUUCUGGCUCAUUUCACUCAGUAUGAGAUUCUCUAGUUCCAUCCAUGUUGCUGCAAAUGGCAUUAUGUCAUUCUUUUUUAUGGCUGAGUAGUAUUCCAUUGUGUAUAUAUACCACAUCUUCCGAAUCCAAUCAUCUGUCGAUGGACAUUUGGGUUGUUUCCAUGUCUUGGCUAUUGUGAAUAGUGCUGCUAGUUUUCAACACAAGUACAAAUGAGUGGUUCAUAGGAAGACCUAUUUUAUAUGCCCCAUUCAACAGGAAAAGGGCAAGGAGCCUUUAUUAGUUUCCCCCAGGUCAGCAGGGUACUACCAAGUACACUUCUUCACACAGCACUUAAUGUUUAAAAAAGCCACGUAAGCUAAGUAGUGGCAGCAUCUUGUUUUUGCAGAGAAGGAAAUGACAACUCAUAGAGAAUAGUAAGGGCUACAGAGCUACACAGUUGGAAAGUGAAUGGGUCAAUAUUACAAUAUAGGUUUUACAUGAAUCCAAUAGUGCUUCUCACAUAAGAGAACACAGAAAUUAAAUGGAAAGAAAAUGCCAAACAAGGAAGAAAAAAGAAAAUUUUCUAAGUUCUCCUCCAGACUCCCAGUUUUCUCUUUUCUCCCUAUUACUCAUCUGAAGACGUGGCUCAGGGUGAUGGGGUCAUGCUAAGAUCACGGCUAUUACUUAGAACACCAUGUUAAGGAAAGUGAAGGUUAGUGGUUCAAUAAACUUAAGGAUUAAUCCAUUUCAUCCCACUAGAUAUCCAUCUACUGAACUUCUAACCUCAUGAACCAUUUCACAAACACAUGGACCAGGACCAUGUGUGCAGAGGCUCAAUUUUAAUCCAAUACUACCACUACAACACAGCUUGAAGUACUAACCUUCUUGUGGUGCCUGAAUACUCUUGUAUAUGAAGAUAUUACGAAGAGGCUCAGGGCUCAGCUCUGCAAAGAGAAUACGCUCUGGAAUUCCUACCUAGAAAGAGCUAAGCAUGAGGGUUAGUUCAUGGCCUGUACCACAGGACUAGGGUUUCUCUCUUUCAGGACAUGGGUGAGGAAAAGCUGCCUCUUGCACCACAUCCCGCACACCCCGGCUUGGGGACAUUCUGGGGCACGCUGCAGGUACCAAGGACCAGAGGCUCAGCAUACAGGUCCCGGCAGCAAGUCGUGCCUGGUAGUGCGGCAUCAUAAAAAACACGCUUUGCCUACUGGGUGGAAGUAAUUCAGCCAAAAUAAAAAUUGCAUCGGCUGCUCAGCAAUGCUUGGAGUUCAGCACCCAGAGAACUAAAAGAGCUACAACUCAGGGACACUAGGCAGAAAGCCCAACAAUGGCAGCCUUGAAAAAGACAAGGAAGAAAAAAUGUAGCAGCAACUCCCUGGGCAUGUGACUUGAGACUCUUGGCAGGCUGCCCCACAAGACUGGACAGUCUGUGGGCAGAGAAUUCACAUCUUUCUCUCAGCUGCCAGAGGCUAAGAAGGGCCAGACCAGACGGAGGACUACCAACUCAUAUCUUCCAGCAAGCUAAUCAUCAAUGAGACUCUCCAGAGGACAACAGUGAAUGAAUAACCAUAACUCUCACCUGCUUUGCACAGUCAUGUGACUGAUCAACAUCACUCCAACCAGGCUCCAUGACUUCUACAACCUGAAACAGCUUGUAACAUAUUAAUUGGGUAUCAAAUAUGCAACCAAUGCAGGGUUUCUUCCCCAGUCGGCAUAGAGAGAAACAAAGCUCUGCUGCAAAAACAAAGGAACAGAGUUCAGCUUAACAAGUCAACCAACCUUAACAGGGCAUGAACUGAGACACUGGGCCAAGAGCAGGUAAUACAAAGGUGAAUAAGAGGUCUUGGAGGAAACUCCUGUGCACUGGAGCGGGAGGGGCAAAAAGAAUGUCAAUAUAAUAUGAUAACUGCUGGCACGAUAUGGAUACAACAGUAUAUGAAGAUCACCAGCCAGAGUUAAACGAACAAAAUCAAAGCAGGCAACCAUCGACAUCCACGUGGACCAAAGGGGAGGGUUAAAAAAAAAAAAAAAAAAAAAAAAAAAA